rnacentral:misc_RNA from 1 species
GGGGAGACACCGUUUGUAUUAGCAUAUGGCUUAGAAGCUGUUAUUUUUGCAGAAAUUAUCAUGCUCAGUGCUCAGACUGAGAAUCUUGAGAUUGUUGCAAAUGAAGAUGAUCUCCGAUUUAAUCUUGACCAAGCUAAAGUACUACAAGAUUGUGCUUACAUCCGAAUGGCAGAGUACAUACAGAGGAUGGUUUGGAUGUAUAACCAAAAUGUGAGGCAUCGAUCUUUCAUAAUCAACAAUCUAGUCAUGAAAAGAGCUGAUGUCUCUAGAGGAUUAGCCAGGGCCGACAAGCUCGACAGUAAUUGAGAAGGUCCCUCUGCUAUAUCUAAAGUCAUCCGCCCGGGCUCUUAUAAGA